GACGAACGCUGGCGGCGUGCCUAAUACAUGCAAGUAGAACGCAGUUGCGAACGGGUGAGUAAUGCGUAGGUAACUGCCUCAUAGCGGGGGAUAACUAUUGGAAACGAUAGCUAAUACCGCAUACUGUGAGAUGGAACUGCGUUGUAUUAGCUAGUUGGUGAGGUAAAGGCUCACCAAGGCGACGAUACAUAGCCGGCCUGAGAGGGGGAUCGGCCCAACUGGGACUGGGACACGGCCCCAGCUCCUACGGGAGGCAGGAGUAGGGAAACUUCGGACAUGGGCGGAAAUCUGACCGAGCAAAGGCGGGGGAGAGAAGAAGGGUUUCGGGUCGGAAAACUCUUUUGAUAGAGGAGCGGUAACUAACCAGAAAGGGACGGCUAACUACGUGCCAGCAGCCGCGGUAAUUC
rnacentral:rRNA from 1 species